rnacentral:rRNA from 1 species
AUACGGAGGGUCCAAGCGUUAUCCGGAAUCAUUGGGUUUAAAGGGUUCGUAGGCGGGUCAAUAAGUCAGAGGUGAAAUCUUGCAGCUUAACUGUAAAAUUGCCUUUGAUACUGUUGACCUUGAAUUACUGUGAAGUGGCUAGAAUAUGUAGUGUAGAGGUGAAAUGCUUAGAGAUUACAUAGGAUACCGAUUGCGAAGGCAGAUCACUAACAGUAUAUUGACGCUGAUGAACGAAAGCGUGGGUAGCGAACGGGAUUAGAAACCCCAGUAGUCC